AACAGAAACUAAUAGUAAUCACCCAACAUUUUUUUGAAGUAGCAUUGAGAAAAUUCUUCAAAGAUGUGGAAAGUAAGCGUAUUUAAACUGAGCGGAAAAUUAUCAAAAGCUAUGCUGUCUAGCGUCAAAAAAAGAAACUUCUAAUAGUAACAUGAAAACACAAAACAAUGUCAACUAUAGCUCGUUGACACUCACUUAGUCACUUGAAAGAACUAACAAACAAAGGCAAAUAACUGUGAUACUCACGUCAUAAUCUCCCCUUUAAGGUUGUAUCUCGUCUUCACCAAAAAGCCACCACGUACAGUCAGCAUCACACAUCACAACAGACGAAAUCCCCAAGGUUUUGACGGCCAUUGAUGUUCACGCUGUUAAUUGAGAUGCUGCCUAAUGAGGAGAUGGUGAAAGGGGUGCUUUAAGUUGUUGCUGAAGCUGCUGUUGCUGCCCUUGGUGUCACAAUGCAAUGUGUUGUCCAUUACUUUGUCUGUCUUGUCAAUUUUUUUCCGACUCUGUCACUCAAAUCUAAUCCAUGCAGUAAUUGCAGUAUUGCACUGCAAAGCAACCUGAUCUCAUGAUCUACGAGUAAUUCAAUCGACAACUGCUAGAUAAAAUAACUUUCUGCGGCAAACAAAUAAUAACGCUGUGUGAUUAUCGCGGUUGAGAAAGCAACAGGCCCUCUGCCAUCAAACAAAAUUAUAUGAUUCUUAUGUUUAAUUUAAUUGGUUGGUGCAGUACAUAUUAUUGUAAAUCAAUUUAAAAAAAAAAAAACAUUAGAAAAGAAACAAAUCAUUAAGUUGGGAAAUGUAAAUAUGUAAUAUACAUAAAUAAUUUUUUAAUAAAAUAAUUUCAUAAAGAAAAUGCAGCUGUUUAAAUCGUAUUGAUACUAUUAUGUACAUGUUUAUCAUCCCUUAUCACAAAUAUCAAUUUUACCUUCUUUAACUUAA